AUUGAACGCUGGCGGCAUGCCUUACACAUGCAAGUCGAACGGCAGCACGGGAGCAAUCCUGGUGGCGAGUGGCGAACGGGUGAGUAAUAUAUCGGAACGUGCCCAGUCGUGGGGAUAACGUAGCGAAAGCUACGCUAAUACCGCAUACGAUCUAUGGAUGAAAGCGGGGGAUCGCAAGACCUCGCGCGAUUGGAGCGGCCGAUAUCAGAUUAGGUAGUUGGUGAGGUAAAGGCUCACCAAGCCGACGAUCUGUAGCUGGUCUGAGAGGACGACCAGCCACACUGGGACUGAGACACGGCCCAGACUCCUACGGGAGGCAGCAGUGGGGAAUUUUGGACAAUGGGCGCAAGCCUGAUCCAGCAAUGCCGCGUGCAGGAUGAAGGCCUUCGGGUU
rnacentral:rRNA from 1 species